rnacentral:rRNA from 1 species
UGUAAUAACUGUAUAAUCCCUGAGGGGGAAAGAUUUUAUCGCUAUUAGAUGAGCCUACAUUAGAUUAGCUAGUUGGUAAGGUAAUGGCUUACCAAGGCUAUGAUCUAUAGCUGGUCUGAGAGGACGAUCAGCCACACUGGAACUGAGAUACGGUCCAGACUCCUACGGGAGGCAGCAGUGGGGAAUAUUGGACAAUGGGCGCAAGCCUGAUCCAGCUAUGCCGCGUGAGUGAAGAAGGCCUUCGGGUUGUAAAGCUCUUUCAAUAGGGAAGAUAAUGACGGUACA